UUCUGAUGUAUGUCUACUGCGCUGCUGGCAUUGGUGCAUUCGUCAUCAUCGUGAUUAUUCUAUCUGUGAUAUGCAUGCAGGGAUGCAAAAGGAAAUCAAAGAAAGACAAAGGAACAGAAAAUCAGUACAUGGAGAUUCCCUUGGCUGAGCAAGGCGCCCUAAAUGCCACGGGGCUCCAACAUUCACCAAGAGGAAACUCUAACCCGCUGCCGUCUCGUAGGACCAGUGAGAGAAAAACCACAGCUCCACCUCCAGAGCCGAGGAUCUCAGGAGAUAACGUCCAGCUUUACGGCCAGGUGGUACAGGACAGAAAGAGACUGAGGAAUGCAACUCAGGCGGGUGAAGCCAAUGCCAAUGUUGUGUACGCUUCUCUGAACCACGGGCCGGCACCAAGAGAGGUGACCCGGCCACAUCGGCAGAUGGAGGAGACAGAGUACGCAGCUAUACGUUUGACAUAAAGACGGAAGGUCUGCUGGAUUAAAUCACACUAGUUUCCUUUCCAGAGGAGCACUGGAGGGAUUCAUCACAGCAAGGAGUCUAGAAAUAGACAAAUUAUCACUUCCUUUACAUUUUGGAAACACCGAUCUUUCUUACAACAGAGUACGUUCAUGGAUUUCCCUCAUCAGCGUCACUGGAUGUGUGUGAUUUCUGCUGUCUUUCUGCUGGGGAUAAAGUCAUUUCCAGCUGAAGCCAAACUGAGAGCAUCGACGUCACAGCAAACAAUGUGGAGUAAAAAGCAUGUUUCACGUUCUUCAUAAGGGAAACCAAAAGGAAAAUGGACCGUAUCUCUUUUCAAUGAUUGUUAACCAAAAGGAAGUCAACACUUAUCUAAGUCCCUCCACCCCGAACUUCAUUUUUGUACCCUUCUUCCGCCCUUGGUGCUAAACUACAAGAAGUACACCGCAACAGUUAAAUGAAGAGCGGCAUGAGAUGAAUAAGUAGGUUAUCCCACCACUUUAUAUACAAAAGCAGUGUUACAGAAAUCAGUCAGCGUUUCCUCAGAAAACAUUUUAACAACCACAACUGAGCCGAUGGGGCUAGCUAACCGUAGCCUCUAAGCUAGCCCCUAAGCUAGCCCCUCGGCUAACAGCCUUUGCUGGAUGGUUUCACAGUAAAAGAAAGAGCUAAAUGAACCACAAACUAUUAUUUUAUACUUAUUUCUAAAGAUUGUUUUAUUUUUUUGUUUUCCUUCAUUAGGGACUUAAGAUCUACAAAAAGCAAGUGUGCUAUUUGUGUGCUAUAAUUAUUUAUUGUGAGCACAAAAUGACACCAAAAAGUUAACACAUUUUUCAAAAAUAUCCAUAGGUUGUCAUGUUUUACUUUCUUUAUUAGGAAAUGUUGGGUAUAUUAUGAUACAUGACCUAGCAGGUACAUUUGGAAAAUAGUUGACAAAAAGUAGCUACCUUGAAUGUCAGAGAAACAUAAUGGUAACUAAUGAUAGCCUAUUGUGUAUUAAAUUAGAUUAAAAAAAGAUAAAGAUGUGAACUAGAUGUGAACCAAUUAAACUAAUAGGAGUCUUAUAUGCCACAGGGCUCCAAUUCUGCUACACAACUAUGUAAAAUACACAUUAGUGGUAUAGUGGUAUUAUUCAUUAGGUGCUGGUUAUGUCACCCUUUUCCAUUAAGUAUGUUUACAGUUUUGCUCAUUUUACCCGAAUACUUCUAGUUUGAAAAGAUCUGUCCGCCACAGGAAGCUUUGUAGCCACCAGGCGUCAAUUUGUACCCACCUUUGUGACACUUCGAACCAGUUUGACAACCAAUUAUUUAAGUUAGCUUCAAUAACCUACUCCUUGCCUAGUGUAAGGGUUAUGUUAUUUCAACAAAUAAUAGCUUCUGCUUCAAUAAAGCAGAAGAUUAUUAGAUUAUUCUUACCUCGAGAGAUUAUUCUUACCUCGAGGAGAUUUUGGUACAAAGCAAUCUUUGAAUUUUACCAACAUGUUUCAUCUGACUGGAAGAAAUAUUAAAAUGUUGACAGAAAAUCUGUGGAGGGAACUUUGGAUCAGGGUGAUGGCAGAGAGACAUUUCCAGUCUUAAAAGCUUAAAGCUCAUCAAAAAAAAGGAAUCUUGAAAAACCCAGUGGAAACAUGCAACAUACUAGCCAGGACUAAUAUAAAAAGAUUAGAUUAUAAUGCCGACAAAGCACUGAUUAUUAAGAAUGGUGCCAAUAACUUUUUUGACCUGUAAUUUUAAGACAAACUGUAAUUCAAAACAGAUAAACUGUGUAUUUAAAAAAAAAUUACUCCUUUGACAUAGUUAAGUCACUGUUGGAGAGAUGCCUGCCUCAUUUUCUGUCAGAAAAAAACUUCUUGGUUGAAUAAUUUUGGUCCUAAAUGUGUGUGACUUCAAUCAAUAUCAAAUUAUUUUGGUUGAAUUAAAGGUCAUUGUCUAUUAUAUUUCAUGACACUUAACUGGUCAAAACAGGUAUCAGAUCCACAGCUUUAAGCCGACAUUAUUAGCAUCAUAUUAAUCAGCGUGACUAGGAUGUACAAAAUAAAUCUAGUUAUAGGUGAGAUAUGAGCUUUUAUAUAUCAAAUACUUAACUAUUUAGAUAACUAAACUGGGACCCAUUUUUAAAAAGUAUGGGUGCAAAGAUAGUACAAACUGAAAGUAGCUCGGGACAAACGGCAGCAAAUGGGUACAUAAUGAGGACAUGGAUUGGCAAAAGGGUGAGUUGAUCUUGAAACUUUUAAACUAAACUAAUAUUGUUUCAUCCGGUGACCAUAUUUAUUUCUACAGGAACACCAGAGUUGUAUCUGUUUUUCUACUGGUAACAGUCGCCAUUGAAUGUAGUUUUUCCUGCUGUUUGACUCUCCUAUGAAGCAAGUACAAACUUUCCAAAGCUGUUUCUUGGACUUUUUUUCUUUAAAUAAGGACAUUGUGUGUUUACGUGUGUGUACCAGCAAACAGUGAUUCACAUCUUUGACAAUAAUGAAUGCAAUCAGAGUUUUCAAACUGAGCCUGCAAACUAUUACGUGACUUCUCCGCAGCGGAGGCACAACAACUGUUGCUCUUCCGCAUGUUUUGCACUUACUUUGAGUUAAAGGUGAUUUUGUUGCAUGUGCAUGACUUGAAAAAUCUUUAUUUGGAACAAUUUCAAUCAUUUCAGGUAUUGUAGCCUUGUACGAUAUCAGAUGAGUCAUUUUCUGACUUUUUGUAUGACUGCAAAAUUUUAUUCUGAUUUAUGAUUGCGAUUCCUUAGGAAGGUAGAAUGUAAUCCUAAUCACUGCGUGCAAUAAAGUAAUGUAUAUUUGUGUGCAAUGAAAUAAUGUACAUUUAAAACUUUGGAUUUGAUCACGUGGAGUUGAGUCCCCUUUCUAUGGUAAUUUUGAACAUUUCCUUAAA